rnacentral:rRNA from 1 species
UACGUAUGGGGCGAGCGUUGUUCGGAGUUAUUGGGCGUAAAGGGCGUGUAGGCGGCUCAUCAAGUCUGGUGUGAAAUCUUCAGGCUCAACCUGAGAUAUGCGCUGGAAACUGGUGGGCUUGAGUUCUUGAGGGGAAGCUGGAAUUCCAGGUGUAGGGGUGAAAUCUGUAGAUAUCUGGAAGAACACCGGUGGCGAAGGCGAGCUUCUAUCAAAGGACUGACGCUGAGGCGCGAAAGCGUGGGGAGCAAACAGG